rnacentral:rRNA from 1 species
GAGGAAUGUAUAGCAAUAGCUACUUGCAUCAUUAUAAAGGUGAUGCAAGAUCGACUAUGUCGAAUAAAAUUCUAGGUAGAAUUAUGAUAAUGACAUUGUCUGCCUAUGUGUCUUGACCAAAUUACGUGCCAGCAGUCGCGGUAAUACGUAGAAGACUAGUGUUAUUCAUGUUUAAUCGGUUUAAAGGGUACCUAGACGGUAAAUCAAGCCUAAAAAAAAAUAAUUGAAGGGACUAAUUUGCUAGAGUUACUUAUGAGGGGGUAUUAAAGUACUGCUGGUGUAGAGAUGAAAUUCUGUCAUACCUCUUUUCAAUAGAAAAACAAUGGCACAGGUAUAGGCGAAAGCAUCCCCUUAUGUGAUAACUGACGUUGAGGGACGAAGGCUUUGUGUAGCGAACAGGAUUAGAUACCCCAGUAGUCAAAGCAGAAAAUGAUGAAUGUCAUAGAUUAGAUAUAUAAAGUUUAUUCUAUAAAUGAAAGUGUAAGCAUUCCACCUCAAGAGUAAUUUGGCACCAUUGGAACUGAAAUCAUUAGACCGUUUCUGAAACCAG